AUGGAUAUUGCUGUUGAAGAUGAGGGGACUUUGGGAGGAGGUCUGCAGAGUGGAGCUGAGGGGGCGCGGCUGAGGCUGGCGUCCGACCGGGAGAGAGUCGGGGGCACCGCAGUGACGGAAGUUGGCAGCGUGGGAGCGGGGAACGGACUGGCAGGAGUGGAGAAGGCGGAGGACGGGGAAAGGAGUGGCCAGAAGGCCGAGGAGAUGCGAGUGGACCUAACGGUUGUGAAGCAAGAAGUUCUGGAUUGGUCGGAAAUGGAAGAAGGCCGGUGGGUAAAGCAGGAGGCGGAGGACGCGCCUGAGGUGAAGGAGGAGAAACCAGGCGUAUCGGAGGUGAAGCAGGAGAUGGAUGGGAGUUUUGAGGUGAAAGAAGAGAAGGGGAGUGAGGCAGAGGUAAAAGAAGAGAAAGUGAAGGUGAAGGAAGAGAUGAUGGACUGGCUAGAUGUGAAGGAAGAGAAGAAAGGUAAUUUGGAGAUAAAAGAGGAAGCCUUUGUUACUCAGAACAUAAAAAAGGAGGAAAUGAUGGAUGAAGUGAAUGUAAAGGAAGAGAAGUAUCUCCCAAAGGAAGAAGUGAUGGAUGAUGCGAAGGUGAAAGAGGAGCCUCGGGUAAAUCCCCCAGCGGGUUUCAAACGGAAACUGGCCAUGUCCAGGUGUGAAACUUGUGGUACAGAAGAAGCCAAGUACAAAUGUCCACGUUGUAUGCGAUAUUCCUGCAGUUUGCCCUGUGUGAAGAAACACAAAGCAGAACUGACAUGUAAUGGAGUUCGAGAUAAGACUGCAUAUGUUUCCAUACAACAGUUUACUGAAAUGAAUCUCCUAAGUGAUUAUCGGUUUUUGGAAGAUGUGGCAAGAACAGCAGACCACAUUUCUAGAGAUGCUUUUUUAAAAAGACCAAUAAGCAAUAAACACAUGUACUUUAUGAAAAAUCGUGCCAGAAAACAAGGUAUUAACUUAAAACUUCUACCUAAUGGAUUCACCAAGAGGAAAGAAAAUUCAACAUUUUUUGAUAAGAAGAAACAACAGUUUUGUUGGCAUGUGAAGCUCCAGUUUCCUCAGAGUCAAGCUGUGUACAUAGAAAAAAGAGUACCAGAUGAUAAAACUAUUAAUGAAAUCCUAAGGCCUUAUAUUGAUCCUGAAAAGUCUGAUCCUGUAAUUCGUCAAAGGUUGAAAGCCUACAUUCGCUCUCAGACUGGGGUCCAAAUUUUAAUGAAGGUUGAAUAUAUGCAGCAAAAUUUAGUAAGGUACUAUGAACUGGAUCCUUGCAAAAGUCUCCGUGACAAUUUGAGGAACAAAGUGAUCAUUGAGUAUCCAACAUUACAUGUGGUAUUAAAAGAAGCCAGUCAUGAUAUGGAAGUUCUUCACCAAGUGAAAAGUGAAUCUACCAAGAACAUUGGCAAUGAAAAUUGAGCACUUCUUCUGGAGGAAGAAGAGAGAAGAGGCAGAGACACAUGGAGAAGCAGGCUCCAUGCAGGGAGCCCAACGUGGGACUCAAUCCCAUGUCUCCAGGAUCAGGCCCUGGGCUGAAGGCGGCGCUAAACUACUGAGCCACCUGGGCUGCCAUGUCUUCUAGAAUUUAAAUUGAAAACUGGACAACUAAAGGAUAUAUCCUGUCCACCCCAUCCCCUAUCCUCACCCCCCUGCCCAGACAAAUUCCCUGACCCAUGUUAAGUUCAACAUCCUGCAUUUUGUUCACGAAUCACAUUUUAAAAGGAGGAAGAGCUUCACCUGGCCUUCUUUAUUUUUUAAGCAAUGAUUUCAAAGGCAAGUUUCAGUGGCUGGUUAACCAGAUGCUGUGAUGCUGUGCUUCAGGGCCCCCGCCAACACAGAAGAGACAGCAACUUUUUCCAUGUUCCUGACAGAUUGGAAGGUGUUUUUUCACAUUCUCUGCUUCAGAUCUCUCCCUGGAAAGACUGAGCUCUGUGAGAGGACAAACUCCUUAUUCACUGGUUGUAACUCCAACAUCUAGAACAUAUCUGACACAGAAGGUGAUCAAAUAUCUAGUAAACAAAUGAUGAAUGAAUGAUUUGGAUAAAAACGAAAGAAGAGAGAAGAAACAAGACCUUUCAAGCUGUGUACUGCAGUGGACAGAGAUUACACCGUGUUUGUGUUGCAGUGUUGCUAUGGAACUGCAUAUGGUUUUAUUUGGUGGAAAUUUGCAGAGAAAUUGAAGGAAGUCAUAUGUAUGCAUGGCAAACAAACAUGAAGUUCCAGAAAACAGGCCUCCAAACAAAUAUUGGAAUUAAGGGGGGCUCUUGACAAUAACUUAAAAUCUAGAAUACUGGUGCAUGAGUGCAGGUCCACCUGCUUGGGUCCUAACCCAGGAGGCAAGGGAGUUAGAGUCAGACAGUGGAGUUUAUUUCCAUCUGCCACUAACUAGCCAGGUGUCUUUGGCCAAGUUACUGGGUUGUAGCUGCCCCUAUCUCUGAAACAGAGCAAUGACCCUUACUGUGCAUUGCUCUUGUUGAGAAAAAACAAGGUAACAGGUCAUGAGUACCACACAUAGAAAGUACUCAUCAAAUGGUAGCCAUCAUUCUAGAGUGGUGACAGCACCUCAUUUAUGCUCCAAGGAAAUAGGCUCAUUCAUCAAAUGAUCUUUUGGGCUUUGAUGUUUGGAGCACUUUUGGGGAGCCAGGGGUGCUCACUGCUGGCCAUACUUAUAUGCAGUCAUUGUCAGACUGGACAAUUGCUGAAGUGUAUACUUCAGCUGUCAAAGUCACCCCCCGCCCCCCAAGCAGUAAAGAUGCUGAGUGUCAGCAAGUUGGUGACACUGUCAGGUGGAACAGUGCUUCCCUCAGCGUUUGGCUCUGAUCUCCCCACUCCAUCUCACUAGCAGUGGUCAGCAUAGGCCUCAGUACCUCCAAGAAAACAGAAGACCCAUCUCCAAAGUUUUCACACCUGCUACCUACUCUGAAUGAACACUUUUGGAGGGCUGGAUAAUUAUUAUAAUUGUAAUGUUUUAAAAUCUUUAUUUAAAUCUUCAAGUUAAAUUCAUGUAGAUCGAAAUCUUCCCGGAAAAUACCCUGUAGACACUAUUUGUAUAGCUUGCGUUUUCAAAGGUUCACAGACCUGUUGAAAGGCUGGCUGCCCCACCCUACCCCAACCCCUUUCCCCAAUACACACAUUAGAGGUUGGCAGCACACCCAGAAAGCUUGUGCUAACCUUUAUCAAGUCACUGGAUCUAACUGGGCCUCUGUUUUCUGAUCUGGAAAAUGAAGAUACUGGAUUAGGUGAUUUCUGAAGCCCUUCUAGACCUAAAUGGCUAUGACAGUAUGCCAUUCAUCUAUCUUGAAUAGAAUACAAGAGGUCUCUUUCAGCAUUCUAGACUGUUGAUGUCCUAACCUACAUUAGGAAACAAUGAGAAAAAAGUCUGUAUCCUCCCUGAACCUGAGUGUUCUAGUUUCUCUUACCUCCUUGAAGGGCCUUCAAAAAGAAGCAUCUAAAAUAUACUGACUCACCCAUGCUUUUCAUAGGCAUGCUUUUCAUGGGCACGGGGCCUUGCCCCAAGCCGGGGACUCCACAAUUGAGCAAACUAUUCCUCAUGCUGCCAGGACAUGCAUAGCACUGAUUGAAUCAACUUUUGUCUUUGCAUCUGCUUUCUCAAUACCUUCAUUAGGACUGAAGUCACUUUUUAAAAACUAAUAAAUAGUAGAAAAGGGGAGGGGGAACUAACCAAUUUUGUUUAUUUUUUUUCCAAUUUUGUUUUUAAACUACCUGCCAUAUAACUUUGUCGUCAUUCUGGCUAUAACCCAAUAGAAGUUUUUUUUUCUGACAAAAUUAAGGGACAUAUGUUCACUCAUUCAGUCUACAUAAUAGAAUGAUCAAGGUGUGUGUUUAGACAGGAAAUGUGUAGAUCUCUUUUUAUAUAUGUAUAUUGUUAUAAUUGUAAACUUGAAAAAAAUGUCUGCCACAAAAGGCUACCAGUACCAGCCACUUCAUUAGUGCUAUAAAUAUUGCCACUCUCAUUAAAGACAUUAGCGUGUUUA